rfam:Picea glauca, whole genome shotgun sequence.
ACAUGCCUACAUCAUAGCGUUAAUCCACCGGAUCCCAUUAGAAAUCCGCAGUUAAGUGCGCUCAGGCUAGAGUAGUACUGGGAUGGGUGACCGCCCAAGAAGUCCUAGUGUUUUACAUGCC